rnacentral:rRNA from 1 species
GGGUUGUGAGGUUAAGCGACUAAGCGUACACGGUGGAUGCCCUGGCAGUCAGAGGCGAUGAAGGGCGUGCUAAUCUGCGAUAAGCGCCGGUAAGGUGAUAUGAACCGUUAUAACCGGCGAUACCCGAAUGGGGAAACCCAGUGUGAUUCGUCACACUAUCAUUAACUGAAUCCAUAGGUUAAUGAGGCGAACCGGGGGAACUGAAACAUCUAAGUACCCCGAGGAAAAGAAAUCAACCGAGAUUCCCCCAGUAGCGGCGAGCGAACGGGGAGGAGCCCAGAGCCUGAAUCAGCAUGUGUGUUAGUGGAAGCGUCUGGAAAGGCGCGCGAUACAGGGUGACAGCCCCGUACACAAAAGCGCAUAUGCUGUGAGCUCGAUGAGUAGGGCGGGACACGUGGUAUCCUGUCUGAAUAUGGGGGGACCAUCCUCCAAGGCUAAAUACUCCUGACUGACCGAUAGUGAACCAGUACCGUGAGGGAAAGGCGAAAAGAACCCCGGCGAGGGGAGUGAAAAAGAACCUGAAACCGUGUACGUACAAGCAGUGGGAGCCCCACCACUAAGCCAGUGGUGAACUCCACAUACGCAUCCUUUGCUGAGGAGACGGUUAACGGAGCGAAAGCGACGUUCAACCUCAAAAGAAGCAGAGGGGGCUUAGUGGUGGGGUGACUGCGUACCUUUUGUAUAAUGGGUCAGCGACUUAUAUUCUGUAGCAAGGUUAACUGUAUAGGGGAGCCGGAGGGAAACCGAGUCUUAACCGGGCGUUAAGUUGCAGGGUAUAGACCCGAAACCCGGUGAUCUAGCCAUGGGCAGGUUGAAGGUUGGGUAACA